UCUCAUUUCAAGCACAAUAAUACCAGACCAAAAGCAUCAUCAAACCUCCUAUUUCGGUUCCACAUAAUCACUACUCUUAGCAAGUCAUUAUGCACGUCAUUAUGCAUGCCAUUAUGCCGUC
rnacentral:sRNA from 1 species